rnacentral:rRNA from 1 species
GACGAACGCUGGCGGCGUGCUUAACACAUGCAAGUCGAACAGUGGCGAACGGGUGAGUAACACGUAUCCAACCUGCCCUUUACUCGGGGAUAGCCUUUCGAAAGAAAGAUUAAUACCCGAUAUAAAGGAUGGGGAUGCGUUCCAUUAGGUUGUUGGUGAGGUAACGGCCCACCAAGCCUUCGAUGGAUAGGGGUUCUGAGAGGAAGGUCCCCCACAUUGGAACUGAGACACGGUCCAAACUCCUACGGGAGGCAGCAGUGGGGAAUAUUGCACAAUGGGCGCAAGCCUGAUGCAGCCAUGCCGCGUGUAUGAAGAAGGCUUCGGGUUGUAAAGUACUUUCAGCGGGGAGGCGUUACCCGCAGAAGAAGCACCGGCUAACUCCGUGCCAGCAGCCGCGGUAAUAC